rnacentral:rRNA from 1 species
CUUUGAAGAGAGUGAACAGUACGUGAAAUUGUUGAAAGGGAAGGGCUUGCAAGCAGACACGGCCUUCGUGCCGGGCCAGCAUCGGUUGCUAGGGGUGGAUAAGGAACAAGGAAUGUAGCUCCUCGGAGUAUUAUAGCCUUGCGCGAUACACCCACUGGCGACCGAGGCCUGCGGUAUUCCUACCUAGGAUGCUGGCGUAAUGGUUGCAAGCCGCCCGUCUUGAAACACGGAC